CCAACCUAUACACAGUACAUGUAUAUAUAAACACCGGGUCAAGUGACCCAAACCCAAAACUCCCUUGACCAACUCUAUGGGAGAUUAGGUUAACCCAAGCCCAUGUACACCCAUGACUCGACCUAAUCUCACCUAUCCUGGGCCCAAACCUGGCCCAUAAAGAGUUGGUCCCUUGAGGCCCACAUAACCUAGACCUCAAGAACCCGAAAGGCCCACAAC
rnacentral:lncRNA from 1 species